GUGCGUAACGCGUAUGCACCUACCUUUGGCACGGUGACAGCCUGGUGAGGGCCGGAUUAGUACCCGGUAUAGUCUGUUAUACACCUGUAUAAAAGACGAGAGCUACUGCGGCCAAAGAUUGGCAUGCGUGCCAUUAGUUAGUUGGUAGGGUAACGGCCUACCAAUGCAUCGAUGGCUACUGNGUCUAAAAGGAUGAGCCCGCACACUGGUACUGAGACACGGACCAGACUCCUAGGGGAUGCAGCAGUGAUGAAUAUUGGUCGAUGGGUGGAAGCCUGAACCAGCCAUGCCGCGUGCAGGAAGACGGCCUUAUGGGUUGUAAACUGCUUUUCUACGGGACGAACGGCUCUGACGUGUCAGAGAUUGACGGUACCGUAGGAAUAAGCAUCGGCUAACUCCGUGCCAGCAGCCGCGGUAAUACGGAGGAUGCGAGCGUUAUCCGGAUUUAUUAGGUUUAGAGGGUGCGUAGGCUGGGCAAUAAGUCAGUGGUGAAAGUCCGCGGCUCAACCGUGGGAUUGCCAUUGAAACUGUUGUUCUUGAGUACAGUCGAGGUAGGCGGAAUGUUGUAAUGUAGCGGUG
rnacentral:rRNA from 1 species